UAGAUAAAAGUUCGGUGGUUUGAACGCUUAGCUGUUAAUUAAGAUGUUGCAGGAUCGAGGCCUGUUUAUCUAG
rnacentral:tRNA from 3 species